UGCAACAGGUCAGAGUUCUGCACUAUAACAGCAUCUGUUUUAUUUUUGUACCUGAAGUUGAUAUGCCUGUGGGCUUUUCAAAGACUCUGUAGACUGCGGGACAAGCAGAGAGAUGAUCAAUGUUGUUUUUCUCUAAGAGCAAACAGAAUCAAGACUGAUGUCCAACAAUCCCAGGAGAGCCUUUUAGGAUGAGAGCCAGUCAUAUGCUCUCCAAAGCAAUCACUUUGCAAUGCACUGUCUACUGAACACACCCGCAUCAGAUGUGAAUGCAGUGUUUGUGAGUUUAGUUUGAAAUUGGAAACCUCAAGAAUUGAUUGAGCAGAUUCUGGUUUAAUUCUGCUCUUUCUUACCUGGAGUCACUACCAUGCAGCAGUUUUGUCCCCAAUGGUUGUUGGGUCAGCACCACUUCACCAUGUCUGGACCUAUGUUCUAGUGGCCUGUGACUGUGGGCGAAGAGCAUCCUUUGGAGCCCAGGCCAAUAUAUUCCACAAUCAAUCAUAAUUUCAAGUAAUACAAUCUAAGUUUUCUUUUUGAAAAUGAAUCUGAUUCAAUUACACAUAGUCAUUAUAUUAGUGUACAUCUGAAAUUAUCCAGCAAAUUUGUUCUCUGUAGCCCUGUUGCAGUACACUUCAACUCUCUUGACCUUUCCCUGCACUGUAAUAAAGAAAUAAGGCUUGACACGGGUGUGUUUAUGAAGUGACCUUAUUCCUAAGGAUGUUAUGAGGAACAAAGAAAAUCCAUGUUUCUCCUUCCUUCAGGGAUGUGGUUAACUAUUGAUAAUCCACAAUAGAGUUGUCUAAGCUAUGAAAGUACUUAUUUACUAUGAAAUGGAGCUAAUCAUAAAGAUACCUGGGACUGAGCACUAAUAGUACUUCUCAGCUGUCUCUCAAUGGAGCACUGCACCCUGAAAUAAGCUGUGUUCUGCUCUCCACCACUUUAUGCCUACUUUAAUUACAAUUGUACACUCAUUUCUCAGCUUACCAAUGUUGUUACACUCUAACCAAAUAAUGAGCACUAAUGUAUUCUCAGAUCUCAAGCACUGUCACCCUGUACCUCAAAAAAGGCAUGGAAAUACCGAAUUCUAAAACCCACCAUUCUCAGUUCUCCAGCACUGUUACCCUGUAAGUAAUAAUGAGCUAAAUUAACUAUUCUCAGCUCUCCAUCUAUCUCUCUAUGCACCAUAAUAAUGAGCUAACACACCCUUGCUCUGCCUCACCAUGCUGGCCUCUCGCAUUCUAAUCAUUGCAAAACACUUUGUUCUCAGUUCUAUGGUGCUGUCCUCCUGCGCCUUAAUGAAAGCUAUGAAAAAACAAUAAAAUACAACCCACAUACCAAUUUUAUAAAUUAAAAAAAAGAAGCUGAAGAAGAAGGAAAAUAAAACAUAAAACAAAGAAAGUGUAUCUUUUCACCUUGCUGUUUACCAGAGGAACAAGAUUGAUUAUAAAGGGCUUUUCUUCAGCUGUGUAAUAUCUUUAAACUGGCAGGCAGAAGCCAUUACCCAUUUGUCUUCCUGAGAAAUGCCUUGUCAGGGGAGCCAGAGGAAUUUUAAAUUAAUGUCACUUCCCUUCCGUUUAAAAAAGACCCAUGUUAUGACAUCCUUGGAUAUUUGGGACCAUUUUUUAGUAUUACUUUAAUUUUAUGCCGCUAUAAUUUAUUGGAAAAAAAAGGAUGUCAGCCCAGCUUGUGCUGGCUGCAUCGUGGAAAUAUUUGAAAGACAAGAAAAACAAAAGGGGUGCCUACAAAGUGCGUUCUCCACCACAGAGCUGAGUGUGGCGCUGGGAAAAAGAAUCCUUAAGGGCAGUGUCAUAGAGAAACACAAUGCAAAAUGAAACGCAAUGGUAUGGGGGUGGGUAGCUCCGAACAGAUUACAAAAUCAAUGUUGUCUAUACACGAUGUAGUUUCUUUCUUGUUCUGCUACUUUAGCAUCAUCACUGCAGUCUGUUCUUGCAAUGGAGGCAGGCAGAACAAAAUCCUUUUUUACACAGGUCUGUGAUUGUAAAACUCAGUGAGCAGCACACCAAAAAGUAAAGCAUUAUAAAGAAUUGAAAAGCAACAGUGGUAAAAACAUGUAUUCCAAAAUUCCAAACAGUCCUAGCAUGGCACGUGGCAUUGUAAACUCCAAAACACAGUACAUUUUUAUAUGGUGUGGUCUUUUAGGGCGAUUCUAUCCCCUCUGGUGUGUCAGGUUGGUAAUGACUUGGCCACACAGUCAAAGUUUAGCUGCUUUUAAUUUGUGGAAGGCUUACAUCAACUUAAAUCAAACACAUAUUUGUUUUAAUAAUAACUGCUCAUCAGUAUGCUUUUUAAAUAAUUGAAGCUGGCGCUGGUCUUGUUUUUUGUUUGUGCCAGACUCGUUCCACUUGGGUAUAACUGUGUCUUUCAAGAUAUCCAUAUUUUUGAGUCACAGUGCAGGCCUAUGGUCUACAGGUCUCAACCCUGCCACCACACAGCAAAGUGAAGAUAUUCUAACAGAAUUUGAUUGGAUUAAAGGAUGUAUGUGCACAGUAUGCACAGUACUGCCCCUGCCCAUCUAUUUCCUCCCUGCCCUAGGUCACAAGUCAUCUCAUCUUGCUAAUGAAAAGUUAAUUUGAUUGUUGUUGUCAUAUUCAACAUGUGUGUCUCCUCGGUGCCUGGCUGUCAUGUCUUCCCUGUGGGUUUGUCAUCCUAAUUAGAUGACAGACAGCUCCAUGCAGUCCAUCACAGUCACUGACAAGGAUCCCAUAAACACACACAAGCUCCCUCACCACAGCCACGCUCAGCAAAGAGAAAGUAUUCGCCAGGGUCCUCGUUUGUUUUCUUUUUUUUUUUUUUUGGUUUGUUUGUUAACUUGUUUUAUUAUCGUUUGCUUGCUUAUUUAGUAGCCCUCCUGUGUUUAAUAAUAACAUUGUGAAGGAAGUGCAAAAUGCUAAAUUAUAGAAAGGAAAAAUGUAAACAGUAUAAAACUAACUUGAAACAUAAUAAGGACGUAUCUACACUUUGCUUGCUGGUUUGGUGUGCAAUUGUUUUGUUUAUAUAUCCUGGAAAUGAAAACCUUGAUUACCCAAAAUUCUAUUAGAAACGUAUCUGAACAGCCCCCUGGGAACCUGUUGUGAACAGAGCUCCGGUCUAUCCACAGCAGUCAUAUGAGAAAGAAAAGCUCUGAACACAACAUGC